GACAAGGAGCAGCUGAGGGGAGGGGAGCUUUACCACCAAAGCCUCGAACAUGGAGGGUAUCUCAUCAUCUGAUCAGAUUCAUUUCAAUAAUUUUUACAUCUAACUUUUAAACACACAGAAUGUAGCUUCUCCUCUCAGUCAAAACAACAUAAAAGAUGCAGGUUGAUGAUGCAGUGAAGCAGCAGGGGAUCAUGGGAUUUGCUGUCUUCAUUGUUUUAAAGUUUUCAGGUUUUGUUUAGUCACAACUUCCUUCUUCAUUCUCUCAUCGUUUCCUGGAGGCGACAGCGACAGGAAGUGAACCCCAGCAUUAGCUUGAAUUAACUACAGAUUUCUCCGGUUUGAACGUUGGUGGAGACAUUUGGGCGAGUGCAGCUGCCUGCCUCACACGUCCUUCUUUCAAGAUGACUUGUGAUUGGUUAGUUGAGGAACACCUGAUCGGUUUCAGGACCCUUUCCUGGAGGCCAGCAGCAGCUCGUGAUGACCUGCAGCUGUGUGGACCAUCAGCAUCCAGCAGAGGGAGUGAGACAGCUGAUAAUCCCUCUAAAGGUGACUCGUGGACAUUACAGACACCAUCAGCCAUCAGCUUCACUGUCCCAGGUCAGUGAACGUCUCUCAGCAACAAGAAUCUGAUGUUGGUCCCAGUUUAAGCAAAACUGUUUCCUGCCUAAACGUCCCUCCACCCUGACUGUUGGAGUUGGAGAUGCUGGAGUAGGUGGAGUAGGUGGAUUUGCAGCUCUGACCCUCGUAUCAUGUCAUCAAAGUGAGAGGCAGAGGUCUGGACAGCUGCUGGUCGUAGGCACUCAACAGGAUGUGAAAUACCGCAGAGUGGACCAGCAUUUCGUGUAGCUCCAGUGGAAACACAUCUUUGUCAAUAUGAGACCAUCAGAGCAACACAACGUAGUUUACAAAGAGGGGUGGAGGUCGGGGUUGACCCAGAAGACCAGAGUUCACGUCCCCUAUGAAACAUGCAGCGUUUGUGGCUACACUUAGCCAAAGUACCGUUUCAUGUUCACCAUGUGUCAGAAAGGCUCAGCAAUUAUGAAUCCAAAUUUGACGUAUUCAGGGUCAUGUUUCCUCAGCGCAGCUUGGAGCUCGUAGCGACUCGGGCCGCCCCACUUUGUGUCACUGCAUCCGAGGGAACGUUAGCAGAGCCCGUUGGUCUGGUGAGGCAUGAUGAUAUUCAAACCGCUCAUUUUAAUUUGAUGUAUUUUGUUUAUGUGAAUUUUUGAGCACAUUAAGAGACAAAAUAAAUAGCAGUUAAGAAUACAAGAGUCCAGUGCCAUGCAGUGCCCGACCUCCAGACCCUCCACGUAUGCUUGGAAGUGAAGACAUAACCCCACUCUGGACAAACGCUUUGUCUGGCGCGUUCAGAUGGAUUUGGACUGGGAAUAUCAAAGCUCCCGGUGGCAAAUUUCAGCUGGAUCGCUGCCCUGAAAUCUGCCUCAAAAUCCAAGAUGUACUGUCCAGCUUUCACCGGUGGACGUGUUGCUAAUGCAUUCUGAACUGGUACUGCUAACAGCGGACCUGGCUUUGGAAGUCCAUCUCGGUUCUCCAACUUGUUUUCCUGGCAUUUACACAGCAAGAGGCUCUUGACUCACCACAUAAAGCACAAACUUUUCCUGCAUCAGCUCUGAGAAACAGCCAACAUUUUUUUCUGGGCUGCUUUCUUGCCUUGCUGGACAUUGUUGUGUUACUGUGAAAACUGUAAUAAACCAGAGUUAUCCUUAAAGUUCAUGUCCUCCAGGUUCUGAGAACGUGCAGUGACUUCUGAGGCCAUUAAACCAUCGUGAAAUCAUUCAAAAAUGGUAAUCAGAAAUUGCGGGCAUAUUUUUAUGAGAAAAAGCAGCCAGAUCUUCUCAGUUCCUGGAGAAAAGAGACGGAGUACAGUACAUGUGGUCAUCAACAUUAACCUUGAGAUGGCAGUUUGAAGUUAAUUAUGUUUCCUUUGCAGUCCAACAGAGGGUGUAUCUGAGCCUGCAUCUGUGUUUAUGAAGAGUGUGUAAUAAUAGUGACUUAAUCACACAAACAGUGCAACCUCUCAGUCAACUUGACUUUGCGUGGAAACUCCACAUCUCGGGACAUUCUUUUGGUUGUUCACCCAAACCACACACUGUUAACAGCUGUGCAGUAUUUCACUCAGACCGCGCAGAGAUUUUCUCUCUUUUUUGGUGCCGAGCUCUUUUCCAAAACCACUCAUUAAUAAAGUAUUUGUGAUCAUGUGGCACUGACAGCGGGACAAAGAUCACUGCAUGAGAGAGGAGCGGAAAGCCAACGUUCAGAAGAAAGAAAAACAAAGCGAGCAGGGAUAAAAGAAAGAAAAAAGGUGGAUGUUUUAAGGGAGAAGGGUUAAGAAACGCUCUCUUUCCCGCUCUGUUGCACAUACACACUCUGCACGCAGAC